UACGGGGGGAGCAAGCGUUGUUCGGAUUUACUGGGCGUAAAGGGCGCGUAGGCGGCGCAACAAGUCACUUGUGAAAUCUCCGGGCUUAACCCGGAGCGGCCAAGUGAUACUGUCGUGCUAGAGUGCGGAAGGGGCUACUGGAAUUCUCGGUGUAGCGGUGAAAUGCGUAGAUAUCGAGAGGAACACCUGCGGUGAAGGCGGGUAGCUGGGCCGACACUGACGCUGAUGCGCGAAAGCCAGGGGAGCGAACGGG
rnacentral:rRNA from 1 species